UGCGUACGGCGGCUCCAUACUGCCUACUGCGCGUGCGUAAUGGUGGCUCCGUACGGCGGCUCAGUACGGCGCCUGCGUACAGCCUACUGCGUGUGCGGCUCCGUACGGCGGUUGCGUACGGCGGCUCCGUACGGUGGCUGCGUAAUGCCUACUGCGCGUGCGUAGUGCACGUGCGCUGAGGCGGUGUGGUUGAGCGGCGCAUGCGCAGGUAUCCCAUCCGAGCUGAAGCGGUCGGUAUGGCUGCCAGCGCCAAAUCGUUCCUGUCCGAUGCAGGCUAUGGGGAGCAGGAGCUGGACGCGAAUUCUGCUCUCAUGGAAGUCGACAAAGUUCCUGUCCUUCACCUCUUGGGGAGUUUACUUACUGGAUGCACUUCCUGGCCUUGUGUUUGACGCAGCAAAAGAAGAUGUGGCACUGCGGACGAGCAUACCGAGGAAGCUGCUUCUGGUGGAUGUAGCUGACUCAAGGAGAAAGCUGAGCAACCUUGGAUGCUGAGCUCUAAUUGUGGGAAACUAUAGCCUUGGCAGAGAUCAUUCUCUGCACAAAAACAUGGGAAAUUACAGAAGCAUAACAAGACAAUUGACCUUGCUUAUGCCUGCCGAGAAUCUUCUUAUUGUCCAGUAACAAGGCUCAGGGUAUUGGGAUCGCUCACUGCGUGGCCUUGGCUCUGCAAGAAUUGCACGAGUGCGGACUUGUAGAAAUGCUUUUUGUUGUGUUAAUAAAAAAAU